rnacentral:rRNA from 1 species
CCAGACUCCUACGGGAGGCAGCAGUGGGGAAUAUUGGACAAUGGGGGGAACCCUGAUCCAGCGACGCCGCGUGAGUGAAGAAGUAUUUCGGUAUGUAAAGCUCUAUCAGCAGGGAAGAAAGAAAUGACGGUACCUGACUAAGAAGCCCCGGCUAACUACGUGCCAGCAGCCGCGGUAAUACGUAGGGGGCAAGCGUUAUCCGGAUUUACUGGGUGUAAAGGGAGCGUAGACGGCGAUGCAAGCCAGAUGUGAAAGCCCGGGGCUCAACCCCGGGACUGCAUUUGGAACUGUGUGGCUGGAGUGUCGGAGAGGCAGGCGGAAUUCCUAGUGUAGCGGUGAAAUGCGUAGAUAUUAGGAGGAACACCAGUGGCGAAGGCGGCCUGCUGGACGAUGACUGACGUUGAGGCUCGAAAGCGUGGGGAGCAAACAGGAUUAGAUACCCGCGUAUC